UACGGAGGGAGCUAGCGUUGUUCGGAAUUACUGGGCGUAAAGGGCGCGUAGGCGGCAUGACAAGUCGGGAGUGAAAGCCCGGGGGCUCAACCCCGGAACGGCUUUCGAAACUGUCAAGCUAGAGUGCGGAAGAGGCAACUGGAAUUCCCAGUGUAGCGGUGAAAUGCGUAGAUAUUGGGAAGAACACCUGAGGCGAAGGCGGGUUGCUGGGCCGACAC
rnacentral:rRNA from 1 species